AAAGGAAUAGACGGGGACCCGCACAAGCAGCGGAGCAUGUGGUUUAAUUCGAAGCAACGCGAAGAACCUUACCAGGACUUGACAUCCUCCUGACAGGCCCUUAAACGGGCCCUUCUUCGGACAGGAGAGACAGGUGGUGCAUGGUUGUCGUCAGCUCGUGUCGUGAGAUGUUGGGUUAAGUCCCGCAACGAGCGCAACCCUUGUCAUUAGUUGCUAACAUUAAGUUGAGGACUCUAAUGAGACUGCCGGGGACAACUCGGAGGAAGGUGGGGAUGACGUCAAAUCAUCAUGCCCCUUAUGUUCUGGGCUACACACGUGCUACAAUGGCCGGUACAACGAGAAGCGAAGUCGCAAGGCGGAGCAAAACUCAAAAACCGGUCCCAGUUCGGAUUGCAGGCUGAAACCCGCCUGCAUGAAGCCGGAGUUGCUAGUAAUCGCGAAUCAGAAUGUCGCGGUGAAUGCGUUCCCGGGUCUUGUACACACCGCCCGU
rnacentral:rRNA from 1 species